AAACCAAGGAAUUGUAGUGAAGGAUAACGUGGUGUAGCGUACGAUUUUAGAAAAGAAGUGAAAUAAAGAUUUGAUGUAAAAAGAAGAAAGCAUGAAGGAAAAAACGAUGAGAGAAAAGUUUUAUAAAGAGGGAGAAAUAGCUUCCAAAAAAAAAGGAAGAAGAAAAUGAACGCAAAUACUUACCAGCAAUCCAAGAUUCGAGCAAUUA